rnacentral:rRNA from 1 species
CACGCCCUAAACGAUGUCAACUAGUUGUUCGGUGAGGAGACUCAUUGAGUAACGCAGCUAACGCGUGAAGUUGACCGCCUGGGGAGUACGGCCGCAAGGUUAAAACUCAAAGGAAUUGAC